GACUGGAGUUGCUGUAAUCGCGAAUCAGCAUGUCGCGGUGAAUACGUUCCCGGGCCUUGUACACACCGCCCGUCACACCAUGAGAGUUGGCAAUACCCAACGUACGUGAUCUAACCCGCAAGGGAGGAAGCGUCCUAAGGUAGGGUCAGCGAUUGGGGUGAAGUCGUAACAAGGUACC
rnacentral:rRNA from 1 species